UACGGGGGGGGCAAGCGUUGUUCGGAAUUACUGGGCGUAAAGGGCUCGUAGGUGGCCAACUAAGUCGGACGUGAAAUCCCUCGGCUUAACCGGGGAACUGCGUCCGAUACUGGUUGGCUUGAGUUUGGGAGAGGGAUGCGGAAUUCCAGGUGUAGCGGUGAAAUGCGUAGAUAUCUGGAGGAACACCGGUGGCGAAGGCGGCAUCCUGGACCAACACUGACGCUGAGGAGCGAAAGCCAGGGGAGCGAACGGG
rnacentral:rRNA from 1 species